rnacentral:rRNA from 1 species
AGUGAACGCUGGCGGUAGGCCUAACACAUGCAAGUCGAACGGCAGCACAGUAAGAGCUUGCUCUUACGGGUGGCGAGUGGCGGACGGGUGAGGAAUACAUCGGAAUCUACUUUUUCGUGGGGGAUAACGUAGGGAAACUUACGCUAAUACCGCAUACGACCUACGAGUGAAAGCAGGGGAACUUCGGACCUUGCGCGAUUGAAUGAGCCGAUGUCGGGUUAGCUAGUUGGCGGGGUAAAGGCCCACCAAGGCGACGAUCCGUAGCUGGUCUGAGAGGAUGAUCAGCCACACUGGAACUGAGACACGGUCCAGACUCCUACGGGAGGCAGCAGUGGGGAAUAUUGGACAAUGGGCGCAAGCCUGAUCCAGCCAUACCGCGUGGGUGAAGAAGGCCUUCGGGUUGUAAAGCCCUUUUGUUGGGAAAGAAAAGCAGCAGGUUAAUACCCCGCUGUUCUGACGGUACCCAAAGAAUAAGCACCGGCUAACUUCGUG